rnacentral:tRNA from 1 species
GGCCUUGUAUUCAUUUUGUGAUUACAGAAUGCAAUUCUGUAGGGGUAGGUUAGUUAACUAUCAAGGCCU